rnacentral:snoRNA from 2 species
CUGCACGUACUCUCCCGGGCUUCUCUGAGUCUCUACCUAUGAAGAAAAAAGCCCCAAAAGUCGUGCUAAAGCCAUGCCGUUUUACGUGUUGCAGUAUAGCCUUUACUUUUCCACCGGCUCUUCUGUGUCAAAUCAGCGGCUAUAUCU